ACCAAACACUUGAGAUUUAUUAGCUGUGUGACUUGGAGCACAAAGACAUUCUGCUUGUUUACACUGGAGACAAAUUUUCCUCAAUUGACGCAAUUCUAUGGAUUAAAUAAUGGCGUUCUUCCUCAUUUAAAGGGUCUUCACAGUGAGAACUGAAAGGCCUUGUUAUUCUCACCUGCUCUGAAGACUGGGGGAUGGGCCACCCCAGUCCUCCAUGGGACAAAAUCUAGGACCCAACUUGGAUGUGGUGAAAUGGAAGGAACAGAUUUCGUUCCUUACUUGUGGUGUGAGACUGAAAGAGAGCAGAUGCUACUAUCUUUCUCUCUUCCAAGCUGGACCAGACUAUAGUGCCCGGACCACUUCACCCUGCUUUUGCCAAGGUGUCUGCCUAGUCUUCUUUUCCCAUUUCCAGCUCCCUUUUAUGCCUUGUCAUGCCUUGUCUUCCUCUACUGGAAUAUAAACUCCUGGAGGAUGAAGGAAUACCAGAGACAGCUAUGAUCUUAUGAACUUCAAAAGGUCAGCAUAGCAGGCCAGACCAGUAAUGAUGCCCUGUUGAAGUGACCUGAAGGACCCAGCCUAG